AACAGGAUUAGAUACCCUGGUAGUCCACGCCGUAAACGAUGUCGACUUGGAGGUUGUUCCCUUGAGGAGUGGCUUCCGGAGCUAACGCGUUAAGUCGACCGCCUGGGGAGUACGGCCGCAAGGUUAAAACUCAAAUGAAUUGACGGGGGCCCGCACAAGCGGUGGAGCAUGUGGUUUAAUUCGAUGCAACGCGAAGAACCUUACCUACUCUUGACAUCCACGGAAUUCGGCAGAGAUGCCUUAGUGCCUUCGGGAACCGUGAGACAGGUGCUGCAUGGCUGUCGUCAGCUCGUGUUGUGAAAUGUUGGGUUAAGUCCCGCAACGAGCGCAACCCUUAUCCUUUGUUGCCAGCGAUUCGGUCGGGAACUCAAAGGAGACUGCCGGUGAUAAACCGGAGGAAGGUGGGGAUGACGUCAAGUCAUCAUGGCCCUUACGAGUAGGGCUACGCACGUGCUACAAUGGCGCAUACAAAGAGAAGCGACCUCGCGAGAGCAAGCGGACCUCAUAAGGUGCGUCGUAGUCCGGAUCGGAGUCUGCAACUCGACUCCGUGAAGUCGGAAUCGCUAGUAAUCGUGGAUCAGAAUGCCACGGUGAAUACGUUCCCGGGCCUUGUACACACCGCCCGUCACACCAUGGGAGUGGGUUGCAAAAGAAGUAGGUAGCUUAACCUUCGGGAGGGCGCUUACCACUUUGUGAUUCAUGACUGGGGUGAAGUCGUAACAAGGUAACC
rnacentral:rRNA from 1 species